GCAUCUAUAGCUCAGUGGAUAGAGCGCCGGCCUCCGGAGCCGGGUGCGUGGGUUCGACUCCCAUUAGAUGCA
rnacentral:tRNA from 1 species